CCGCGUGUGUGCGUGUGUGUGUGUGUGUGUGUGUGUGUGUGUGUGUGUGUGCGGGCGCGCACACAUGCUCAGCUCC
rnacentral:miRNA from 1 species